UACGUAGGGUGCGAGCGUUAAUCGGAAUUACUGGGCGUAAAGCGUGCGCAGGCGGUCCGCAAAGUCUGAUGUGAAAGCCCCGGGCUCAACCUGGGAACUGCAUUGGAAACUAACGGGCUCGAGUGGGGCAGAGGGGGGUGGAAUUCCACGUGUAGCAGUGAAAUGCGUAGAGAUGUGGAGGAACACCGAUGGCGAAGGCAGCCCCCUGGGCUAACACUGACGCUCAGGCACGAAAGUGUGGGGAUCAAACAGG
rnacentral:rRNA from 1 species